AGUGAACGCUGGCGGUAGGCCUAACACAUGCAAGUCGAACGGCAGCACAGUAAGAGCUUGCUCUUACGGGUGGCGAGUGGCGGACGGGUGAGGAAUACAUCGGAAUCUACUUUUUCGUGGGGGAUAACGUAGGGAAACUUACGCUAAUACCGCAUACGACCUACGGGUGAAAGCAUGGGAUCUUCGGACCUUGCGCGAUUGAAUGAGCCGAUGUCGGAUUAGCUAGUUGGCGGGGUAAAGGCCCAACAAGGCGACGAUCCGUAGCUGGUCUGAGAGGAUGAUCAGCAAAACUGGAACUGAGACACGGUCAAGACUCCUACGGGAGGCAGCAGUGGGGAAUAUUGGACAAUGGGGGAAAGCCUGAUCCAGCCAUACCGCGUGGGUGAAGAAGGCCUUCGGGUUGUAAAGCCCUUUUGUUGGGAAAGAAAAGCAGCAGGUUAAUACCCCGCUGUUCUGACGGUACCCAAAGAAUAAGCACCGGCUAACUUCGUG
rnacentral:rRNA from 1 species